AUGAACGCUGGCGGCGUGCCUCAUCCAUGCAAGUCGCGCGCACAGACGAGGAGCUUGCUCCUCUGACGUUAGCGGCGGACGGGUGAGUAACACGUGGAUAACCUACCUAUAAGACUGGGAUAACUUCGGGAAACCGGAGCUAAUACCGGAUAAUAUAUUGAACCGCAUGGUUCAAUAGUGAAAGACGGUUUUGCUGUCACUUAUAGAUGGAUCCGCGCCGCAUUAGCUAGUUGGUAAGGUAACGGCUUACCAAGGCAACGAUGCGUAGCCGACCUGAGAGGGUGAUCGGCCACACUGGAACUGAGACACGGUCCAGACUCCUACGGGAGGCAGCAGUAGGGAAUCUUCCGCAAUGGGCGAAAGCCUGACGGAGCAACGCCGCGUGAGUGAUGAAGGUCUUCGGAUCGUAAAACUCUGUUAUUAGGGAAGAACAAAUGUGUAAGUAACUAUGCACGUCUUGACGGUACCUAAUCAGAAAGCCACGGCUAACUACGUG
rnacentral:rRNA from 1 species